rnacentral:rRNA from 1 species
UACGUAGGGUGCAAGCGUUACUCGGAAUUACUGGGCGUAAAGCGUGCGUAGGCGGUUUGUUAAGUCUGUCGUGAAAGCCCCGGGCUCAACCUGGGAAUGGCGAUGGAAACUGGCGAGCUAGAGUACGGUAGAGGAGAGUGGAAUUCCCGGUGUAGCAGUGAAAUGCGUAGAGAUCGGGAGGAACAUCAGUUGCGAAGGCGGCUCUCUGGACCAGUACUGACGCUGAGGCACGAAAGCGUGGGGAGCAAACAGG